GUACUGUAUUACAGCACAUAUACUAAAACUGGAACGAUACAGAGAAGAUUAUCAUGGCCCCUGCGCAAGGAUGACAUGCAAAUUCAUGCAUUACUGGUAGCUCUC
ensembl:snRNA U6 U6 spliceosomal RNA